UACAGAGGGUGCAAGCGUUAAUCGGAAUUACUGGGCGUAAAGCGAGCGUAGGUGGUUUGAUAAGUCAGAUGUGAAAUCCCCGGGCUUAACCUGGGAACUGCAUCUGAUACUGUUAGACUAGAGUAGGUGAGAGGGAGGUAGAAUUUCAGGUGUAGCGGUGAAAUGCGUAGAGAUCUGAAGGAAUACCGAUGGCGAAGGCAGCCUCCUGGCAUCAUACUGACACUGAGGUUCGAAAGCGUGGGUAGCAAACAGG
rnacentral:rRNA from 1 species